UUCAGUGUUUCACAGAGACUGUCUUGAGGCAACAGCGGAGAAACAAUGUCUGAAUGAGGAGCUUACUCGGUGAAUUCGAAACUAAUUGAAACAUCUAAUCAAUUUGAAAAACUUGACUGAAACAAUCAAAGGACUAUAAUUGAAAGCAAUCCAGCCGUCCCGUCCAAUCGUUCGUGAAUGCUAAGGAAGGAUUGUUAGCUGUCACUAGGUGGCUAAAACUAUGUCCACUUGACGGCGCGAUGUCAAAGGCACUGAGCGAAAAGGGUGGAGCUGGACUGCUGAAGAUGCUGUGUACAGUUUCCCAAAAUUUCGUCUCUUACUACCUUUACCGGGUGAGCGUUUCGUCACAUGCAGAAAAACUUCAGAACAAUUAAAUCUAAUGGGCACAUGGAUUUGCUGCAGUCAUCCAGUGAAAGGUGUGAAUAAAUUGAGCUGUUGCAUGCAGUCUUUGGUGCCAAUGUUGUCCUGGAAUGUGGGAGAGCUCCAUGCUUCAAGUCUUAUGGGAUCAGCCAUAUAUCUUGGUUGACGCUGGAUCAUGCUGCAUUGUGGUUGCCGAAAUCUUGGACAUCUAGUAGAACUGCAAGAAGCCUUCUUGAAAUGCAGUGAUGUUGCUGUCAAAUGUGGCAUGUUGUUGCAGCCUGCUGGUGAAGGAUUUUUUGCAUCAAGUUAAACUGUUACUGUUCCUGUGUACCGGACUGCUGGUGUUGUGCACAGAAGUUCCAUCCAGAUUUAAUUGUUAUUUGUGACUAUGCAGUCAACGGUUUAUAUGUUGAAAAGAAAAAGAAACAGUUCCUUGGUGUUGUAUCGCUGGUGCUGUGCCACAGAAGUAACAUCCUGUAUUUUGUUUAAUUGCCAUUUGCGUCUAUGAAGUUAAUCGUUUAUAUGUUGAGAAACAACAAAAACAGUAAAAACGGGGAAUAUUUACGUUGAAGUAAUAAACAAGCCUUCGUGAUUGGAAAUCAACGAGGAGAUGGGGGGGGGGGUAUUUGAUAUUCAUUAACUAGAAGCAUCGUGGUUUUUUUUAAUAAGGUAGAAAUAAAAUUCUUUGUCUAUCACAUCCAUAUAUACCUACCUGUAUAACCACAUCUAUUCCUCAAACCCCAUAGCCUCCACCAACAUCCACAUACCUUAACCCCCAUUUUCCCACAAAUGUCAAAUAUCUGUAAUAUGUAAAUAUUAUUGUUAAAUAACUAAACAUGAUCAAUCAAAUAAACAAACUGAAACUUUUA
rnacentral:lncRNA from 1 species